AUGUUGUGUUUGUUUACAAGCACACAAAGACGAGAGACCAGCACAUAUAGUAUCACAAGUCAGGAAUGUAUGGCAUUUCUCAACAGGGUUAUUCAUAUAGAUGUCAAAUCUCAAAAAGAGCAGUUGAUACCAUUUAUAGUAUGGGGACUGUCUCAUUGGCCUAACGUUAUAUCCUAAUUUGACUUUGGUGCAGGUCAUGUUCUUCACAUUACCGUCUCUGGUAAACACAUACUAUAUCAAAUAAAAUCUAUGUUUAUUUGUCACAUGCACAGGAUACAGAGGGUGUAGUGAAAUGGUUACUUGCUUAUUUUAGACAUGUAGCUAGCUAGCUAAACAAUGAUCCAUAAUCAUAAUGUUACUACCCUGCAUGAAUCUGCACGUAGCUAACCAACCAGGUUCAUUGUUAGCUAGCUAACAUUAGGCUAUAACUAGCAAUGCAAAUGGCUCUGAGAUACAAAUAAUAUUACUACACAGACCAUACACGUACUGUUAGCUAGCAAACCAGCCAGCUAGCGUUAGUUAGCUAGCUAACAGUACUCUUUAACUUGAAAUGAAAACAACUUUCUGACAAAAUUAUAAUGUAUAAUAUCUAACAGCCUUCUGUGUGUUCUCUUUUCGACUCUCUCUGCAUAUUCGCAAUCAAACGCCAGAAUUUUCUCCAUCUCCUUAGCUAUCAUACUCUAAUUCCACCAUGGAUUCCACUGAUUUCAAAACUCGGUCCUCCAGAAAGUGGAGAGCAACCCUUUUGCAGUUCUACUAUGUGAUAUCUUUCAAAAAAUCUGCUUUAGAAAGGAUUACCUACACAUACUGACCAGCUCAUGUUAUAGACAAGUGUGCUACAUGGCAAACCAAUCUGAACUCAUCUCUCGGCCUGUCCAGCCCAGCCAUUAUCUCAGCCAAUCAUGGCUAGCGGAAAGGUUCAGAACUUUUUUCGUUGCUAAACCAACUAGGUUCAUAAUUUAACAGUUGUAUUGGUAUUUACAUAUGGCAUACACAUUUGUUAUGAAGGCACAUUAACAAUCACAUGUUCCAGAAGGCAUUUCUGUCAAAAAUAGUAAAUAGUUUAUGUUCAGUUACCUCUCCUGUGAGGUAGUGACAUAUGACAUACGCCGGGUUUCCUGAAACGAGUCAGAAAUACUCCUCGGUGGAGAUGUGUUUAUAUUUUUGUUCAGUGUACAAUAGAUGGAAAGUUACUGAAGAUGGUAGCUGACUCUAUGGCCACUCCUAUCUGUCAUAUCUUUAAUCUGAGCCUAGAAAAAAAGUAAUUGUCCUCAGGCCUGGAGUGAAGCCUACCCAAGAGUGGUAAAACAGCCUUUACUGGUUAAUAGUGUUUGACCAAAUACAAUGCUAUUUCUCUGUAAACAAUUAACAGACUUUCAGCAUGCUUGUAGAGAAGGGCACUCAACAAGUACUGACAUACAUGACUGAUGAUUGAUUGAAAUAAAUUGAUCAUAAGAAGAUUGUGGGAGCUGUACUGUUAGAUUUCAGUGCAGCCUUUGAUAUUAUUGACCAUAACCUUUUGUUGGGAAAACUUAUGUGCCAUGGCUUUUCAACCUCUGCCAAAUCGUGGAUUCAGAACUCAGGAAUCAAGAUCUACAUCAUGCAUAUACAACUAUCCUCAGAAGUAGAAAUGUAGGCCUACUAUUUAUAAACACAGCUUGUAGUUAUGUAGUAAAGUAGUAAAGAUAUACAUGUUUUUUAUCAAGAACGUGGUGUUUGAUCCUAGGAUCUUUACUGUACAUUUCCAGGGCAAAUGUGCAGUCAAUUCUAUUUGCCUCUGAUUUAAUGUUAUUUAUCUGUAGUGAAAUGGAAACCGGAUGAAAAUGUACUAAAUGUUCAAGUCGAUUGUUUUCGUGCUAAAAAACACACCAGUUCCUUCCUCUUCCUUAUCUCACAUGUCUAUUUUAGAGCCUCACCUACUAUAAUAACUCUUUGAAUACAAAGAGCCAUACUGAGCUUUACUUUCUUAUCGUAAAUGCUGUUUUAUCACACUUUUUGUUAAGCUUGCCAAAAUAUAUACCACAAAAUAAUAUCCCACCGGAAGAAAAAACAGUUCUUUGGAAUUGGACAUUGCAAGCAGACUGCAGUGACAAAUUCUGUUUCAGUUUCAGGUUUCACUUCCAAAGAGUUUAAUGUUACUGGAAUCCUGAUCAGUUACAUCAAUUCAAAUAAAAACCGAGGUUUACAUUCAUUCACCUGUGAAAUAAGAGAUGAUGAUAAUGACAGUAUUGACAUUUACAGAACAAAGCAUGUAACAUGGCUCAGUGACAUUGGAGCUGACAGACGUGGUUAUUACAGAGGUGUUAUAGUAGGAUGUGGCUAGGAUUGCCAAGAGAACAUAUGUUUCUGGGUUUUUUACUGUCAAGUCUUGCCAGGUCUUUGUAGAGGAGAUGGGAAGAGGAAUUAGUUUAUUUCAUUUAAAUCAUUAGUGUUUGCAUCUAUUGCCCACAAACGCCUUUCCCUAGCUACAUAAAGUGACAUUUGACAUUUGACAAUAAUGCAUUUGUCAUAAUUAAUUUCCAUUUACAUUAAGUUCAGUAAUAAUGGUAGAUUGUUUCUAAGUUGUUCUUAAAAUGUUAGAAAUGUGAUCAACAAAAAGCCUUUUGAUUAUCCUUGAUUAUCCAGUCAGACCCCCUAGCCUCCCCUCUCACAGGGAACCGAGGUGAUGUGAGGUGAUGAUACUAGGUACUAAGCUCCAACCUGCUGCUCCCAUUUCUCCAAUUAAUUUGUUACAUUGAUGGAAGAUGAUUCCUCUUUCCCUGGUCUAGGAUGUAGUGAUAUACUCAACUGACCUUCACAGCAUCACAUAAGGACAACAUAAUCUCUUGCUGACUUUGAUCUCCCAUGCCCAUGAGUAGUACUGUGGUAACUAAACCAGAUUUGAACCCCAAACAGAUUGAAAUCCAAUUCAAUGAGUGUUAAAUAAAUACAAAAUCACUUUGUAGCUAGUGAUAGAAAGGAUGACAGGUGGUCAUUCAAUCACGCUGAUAUAACUGUUACCAUGAGUUAGUGGUGGGCCCUUUGUUUAUGGUACAGUCAGCCUAAAUAAAGGUUGCCAAAGUCAAUCCAUGUGCCCAGACUCAGGGUAAUUCAUUGGAAGUAAUCAACGGUGUAUAGAAACUACAGCUGCAUCAGGGUCCUGCGUCACUUCAUGUGAGCUGAAACAUGAUCAGUCAUGCAGAGUGGCCAUCAGAGACCGUGCCAUGUCACUGUACAAUGUCAGCGUGAGGGCCUACAGUGUGUCAGCCCGCAGUGAUGCUAAUUUGUGGGGACUCUCCAAUAAUUUACAUCUGGUGGGACAAGAGAUGGCUUGUGUGGUCUUUGAAUAAGGAUUUUGCUAUAUAGCCUGGUUGCUGGGUUGAGGUUGUGUUCUAUGAGUGGUGUUGAGUAGAUUGAAGCCAGGGAUGAUGAUUUAUUGACUUAGUUUGACUGGGAAUCAGGAUGUUCCUCUUUUAGGUUUAUGACUGCCUGUGAUUACACAGUCAAAGCAGAUGCACUAAACGUACCCUCAUGUUAAUUGAUUGUUUCAGAAUUGAUGCAAGACUUACAAAACAAUUGUAUUAUUCUCCUGUUGUCAAGUGCUUUCCUUGUUUACAUCAAAUAAUGUCAGCUCCUCUCAUGAAAAGAUUGUGAUCAUACACACAUAUAUGCUCCCAAUUACCAUCAGGUCGAAGGGCUGGGUUUCUUGUAAGUUAGCAUUUGGAAUGGUUUUAAGAUGGUCAUACCUAUGAAAAUGUAGCUAUUUUAUUUGACAUAUUAGGACCCCUGUAGGUAUAAUAUAUAUAUAUAUAUAUAUAUAUAUAUAUAUAUAUAUAUAUAUAUGAUGAAACAUUGAAUUUAGCCUUUCUGCUAUUAGCCCAUAGAAACACAUUGGUUAUUUCUCAAAAUGCAGGCUACCGUGAUCCGAGCACCCAUAUUGGAGCACAGAGGCCACUUCUCAAAUGCGUACUUCUUUUGCAUAUAUUUUUAAGCAUGCAUCGAUGCAAGCACAGAAAUAUGACGCAACCACAUAAAAAAUGUAUUUAAAUCCAUCAUGGCCAUUAUUCGAGUUGAAGCGAGAAAAAACACACUCAGACUUCGGAAUGAAAUGUUACCUAUUCACAUCUCAUAUGUGACCCGUUUCAGGAAACUAGGCGUAUGUCGCGGGUCACUACUUCACAGGAGAGCCGUUUGAACGUAAACUUUAUUUUAUUUUAUCAAAAUUAGUUUUUUUGACAGAAAAACCUUCUCAAACAUGUGAACUUUCAUGUGCCUUAAUAAUAAAUGUGUAUGUCAUCUGUAAAUACAAAUACUAUUGUUAAUUUACAAACCUAGUUGGUUUAGCCACGAAAGAAGACAGGAACCUUCCUGCUAGCCAUGAUUGACUGAGAUAAUGAGUAGGCUGAACAUGCCAAGAGAUGAAUUUGAAUUGGUCUGCCAUAGAGCACGCUUUUGUCUAUUUGAUCUGGUCAAUAUGUGUAGGUAAUCCUG
ensembl:lncRNA